GAUGAACGCUGGCGGCGUGCUUAACACAUGCAAGUCGAGCGAGAAAAGUUCUUCGGAGCUUUUCUAGCGGCGGACGGGUGAGUAACACGUGGGUAACCUGCCUCAUAGAGGGGAAUAGCCUUCCGAAAGGAAGAUUAAUACCGCAUAAUAUUGUUGAAAGGUAUCUUUUAACAAUCAAAGGAGCAAUCCGCUAUGAGAUGGGGCCCGCGGCGCAUUAGCUAGUUGGUGAGGUAACGGCUCACCAAGGCGACGAUGCGUAGCCGACCUGAGAGGGUGAUCGGCCACAUUGGAACUGAGACACGGUCCAGACUCCUACGGGAGGCUG
rnacentral:rRNA from 1 species